UGUGGCCAAAAGAGAUUAACAUUUGAGUCAGUGUGCUAAGGAAGGCAGAUCCACCCUUAAUCUUGCGGGCACAAUCUAAUCCGCUGCCAGUGAAUAUGAAGCAGGCAGAAAAACGUGAAAAGGAGAGACUGGCCUAGGCUCCCAGCCUACAUCUUUCUCCCGUGCUGGAUCCUUCCUGCCCUCGAACAUCGGACUCGAAGUUCUUCAGUUUUGGGACUUGGACUGGCUCUCCUUGCUCCUCAGCUUGCAGACAGCCUACUAUGGGACCUUGUGAUCAUAUGGUGUCCGGAAUUUCAAAUAAUACUGAGUUAUGGGAAUUGCCACAGUAAGUAAAGAUCUACAGUCGGGGAAAAGGAUUUAUAAGGCGUAUGUUUUAUAGCUCCUGUAUGAGUAGGCUUUUGAUGCAUCAUAUACAUGCUUUGAAGGUAGUAUUAUGCAGGGUACUAAAUUGAGUUAUACUUACAGUCAAUGAAUAUCAUUUGACCAAUGACAUUUUAGAAAAAUAUCUAUAUAAUUUUCCAAGGCCAUGUCUUAGAAAUUUUGCUCUGAGUCUUAUAUCUGAACAUCUCAGAGAAUUUUUAGAGAAAACAAUUUCACAGAUAAUGAUAAUUAGAUACCUUCACUUUGCAAAUAUAUGAACUGCCUUUUGAAUGGCCCUUUUAGUAAAAUGAGAUUGAUUACGUCCUCUUCAUAGCAGAGAUUUUACCACAAAACAUCAAUCUAUUAUGAAAAGUACAUACGUGUAACCUGGUAUCCUUGCUUGGCAGGGUGAUGUUACAUUUAGGUACAUGAACUACCUACUGUGAUAAGCUCCCUAUCUCUUCAAAUAUUAACUCUCCUGCUCAUUCCUGUCUGAUGCCUGAAAUUCCUUUAAUAUUACAAAAAGCUUAAUCAAUUUAUUAAUAAUCCUACAUUUUCUUGCAUUAUUGCUGCCCAGUGAUCUGGAUUGUUUGUGGUUGUUGAUUGGAAAACUAAAAAGUCUUAGAAAAUAUCAUUCUAAUGUUAUUGUAUCACAGUGAAUUACCCACAUACAAGCACAAAGUAAAGCUGUAAAGCAAUUAAUUCAGUUCUUCAAAUAAACCAAAAAAAGAAGACAGUGAAUGAUAACUAUCAGUUUCUUUCUUAAUUUGAUGGAUGAAUUUAUUCACUCUCCAUUUUUCUCUCCCAGCCUAUUUGUGGUUUUGUAGCAAAAAGAUUUCUACAUGGCUUUUUCUGUAAUUAUUUUGUGAAAACCCACAAUAU
rnacentral:lncRNA from 10 species